rnacentral:rRNA from 1 species
ACGGGUGAGUAAUAUAUCGGAACGUGCCCUGGAGUGGGGGAUAACUAGUCGAAAGAUUAGCUAAUACCGCAUACGAUCUACGGAUGAAAGUGGGGGAUCGCAAGACCUCAUGCUCCUGGAGCGGCCGAUAUCUGAUUAGCUAGUUGGUAGGGUAAAAGCCUACCAAGGCAACGAUCAGUAGCUGGUCUGAGAGGACGACCAGCCACACUGGGACUGAGACACGGCCCAGACUCCUACGGGAGGCAGCAGUGGGGAAUUUUGGACAAUGGGGGCAACCCUGAUCCAGCAAUGCCGCGUGUGUGAAGAAGGCCUUCGGGUUGUAAAGCACUUUUGUCAGGAACGAAACGGUCUGGGCUAAUAUCCCGGACUAAUGACGGUACCUGAAGAAUAAGCACCGGCUAACUACGUGCCAGCAGCCGCGGUAAUACGUAGGGUGCAAGCGUUAAUCGGAAUUACUGGGCGUAAAGCGUGCGCAGGCGGUUGUGCAAGACAGAUGUGAAAUCCCCGGGCUUAACCUGGGAACUGCAUUUGUGACUGCACGGCUAGAGUGUGUCAGAGGGGGGUAGAAUUCCACGCGUAGCA